AUUGAACGCUGGCGGCAUGCCUUACACAUGCAAGUCGAACGGCAGCGGGGGUGAAGCUUGCUUUUCCUGCCGGCGAGUGGCGAACGGGUGAGUAAUACAUCGGAACGUGCCCUGUAGUGGGGGAUAACUAGUCGAAAGAUUAGCUAAUACCGCAUACGACCUGAGGGUGAAAGUGGGGGACCGCAAGGCCUCAUGCUACAGGAGCGGCCGAUGUCUGAUUAGCUUGUUGGUGGGGUAGAGGCCUACCAAGGCGACGAUCAGUAGCUGGUCUGAGAGGACGAACAGCCACACUGGGACUGAGACACGGCCCAGACUCCUACGGGAGGCAGCAGUGGGGAAUUUUGGACAAUGGGCGAAAGCCUGAUCCAGCAAUGCCGCGUGUGUGAAGAAGGCCUUCGGGUUGUAAAGCACUUUUGUCCGGAAAGAAAUGGCUCUGGUUAAUACCUGGGGUCGAUGACGGUACCGGAAGAAUAAGGACCGGCUAACUACGUGCCAGCCGCCGCAGUAA
rnacentral:rRNA from 1 species